UCCCUGGAGCACCGGGUGGCAAGGCCAUGCCCUUUGCCCUGAACUUCUCUGCACCACCCCGGUUCAUCUCCGCCAAGGAAUCUGUCUGGCCUCCUGCCCCCCUGCCAGCCCCUCCCUGGCCUCCCAGGACCUCAGGACCAAGUCCAGAGUCCUCCCAGGACUGGCGAAGCCUCCACAUCGCUCCGAGGUGGGUGGUGCAGGGGUGCAGGGCUCUGGAGAGGAGCAGGCAGAGGCUUCUGGAAGCGAGAGUUCCCAGCUGGGCUGUCAGCCCAGCAGAGAGGAUGUGGGAAUCAGGAGGCCCUACGGGGCUCAACUUCAGUGGGCCUAGAGCGGAGACCCAGCUCUGGGGGCCCGGCCAAGCCUCCGAGGACCACGGAACGCCCUCUCUGCUCCACAGGGUCCCCUCGUAG
rnacentral:lncRNA from 1 species